GACGCACGCUGGCGGCGUGCUUAACACAUGCAAGUCGAACGAAGUGGCGAACGGGUGAGUAACGCGUAAUCAACCUGCCCUUCAGAGGGGGACAACAGUUGGAAACGACUGCUAAUACCGCAUACUGAAGGAGGGGCUUGCGUCUGCUUAGCUGGUUGGAGGGGUAACGGCCCACCAAGGCGAUGAUUAGUAGCAGGUCUGAGAGGAUGAACGGCCAAAUUGGAACUGAGACACGGCCCAGACGCCUACGGGAGGCAGCAGGUGGGAAUCUUGCGCAAUGGACGAAAGUCUGACGGAGCAACGCCGCGUGAGUGAGGAUGGCCUUCGGGUUGUAAAGCGCUGUUAAUCGGGACGCGGUACCGGAAUAGAAAGCCACGGCUAACUACGUGCCAGCCGCCGCGGUAAUAC
rnacentral:rRNA from 1 species